UCCCAUACCGAACACGGAAGUUAAGCUUCUCAGCGCCGAUGGUAGUUGGGGCAGGCGCCCCUGUGAGAGUAGGACGUUGCCA
rnacentral:rRNA from 1 species